AAGUCGUAACAAGGUUUCCGUAGGUGAACCUGCGGAAGGAUCAUUACCAAAUUUUCCCAUGGCCAAGCCCACACCGCGUGUGAACUGGACUGCUGCUCAUUGGGCCGGCGUGCAAAAGCUGUGCGAUGCAUGGCGGCCCAAUGUGUUUAACCCCAGUGUGAACCGUUGACAGUCGCUUUUUUACUGUGCGUCGCAACGACGCGCGUUUUUGAACAAUACACAACUUUUAACGGUGGAUCUCUUGGCUCGC
rnacentral:misc_RNA from 1 species